GAAGAAAAUACUUUGACUACACUGUUUUCAGUGUAAACUACUGAACUUGCAAAUACCAGGUUGCAUGGGAGAUAAGCCAAGGUGAUGAAGUCCAAGCAAGAUGAGGAAGCACAGAGAUGAACAAGGAUGUCCUGAACUAACUCGUUCUCUUCAUUUGGAACUUUGACGGCUGGCACUGAGAGUAAAUCAAGGAAGCUGGGAAAAUUUGCAGGCUACUGAGAUACCGGGAAUAUCACUGGCAAUUCUGUCUUCCAGCUCUUUGAAGGAAGAACAAGGA